GUCUUUGGUAGAUUUUUUUUCUGGAACUCUUAUGGAAAAAUGCAGCUUCAAGAGACAUUUGCCCAUCAACCUGCUAAAAGUGGCGCUUAUGCCCACCGCAUAUAGUGUGGCUAUGCUGGUCUUGGUUAUUCUGGAAAUGGCAGUCGAUAUUCUCAUUGAUGUUGCUGUUGAAAUUAUUAAAGCCUUGGUGGCCCCUAUGGUGGGCCCUAUCAGGCGACAUAUUGGUUA
rnacentral:misc_RNA from 1 species